GGAUCUUUUAUUUUUGUUUUAAUAAAACGGUAGUCUCCAUUCGAAUUUAAGACAGAAAACAUCGGUUUAAAUAACAAAGUUUAAAUUCAAUUGUACUAAGCAAGUGGCUUGUUCGAAGUAUCAAGACUUACAGGAGAUGAUAUAUUCUAACUGAUUGCAACUAUAUUUUAAUAUUCAAUUUAAAAGGGAGUUCGGAACUGAUGAUUGAUGAAGUUUAUAUAGUAUUGUGCAGUGGACUUUGUUUUUGAUCAGUAAAGAUGAAAACUCGCAUAGAA